rnacentral:lncRNA from 12 species
AUGGCCAUGCAUACUUUAUAUUUGAGAGUUCAAUGUCAGAAUGUGGGAGAAGAGUGGUGCACAGUGCCUGAUGAGGUUUACAUAUGCUCUCACCUGAACAAAAGCUGCAAGGCUGGAGCAGCACCGGAGAGCGUGCAAAUAAUUUCCCCCCAAAUCUGGACUCCAGGACACUCCUCCUGCACACAGAUGAACGCCCCCAUGAGCAAAUUGCCUCUCCAGCCUGUCCAGAGUCACCUAGACUGCUGGCAAAUGGUUUUUUCAGAGCAAGCAGCCAGGAUGAAGUUUUCAAAACACAAAUCUCGCCAGCUCAAGAAGAUAUGGAGGAUGGAAAACAAGUUAUAUGACACUGCAAGGAAGCAAUCAGCCAAAUGCAGAAUGUGGGACACGAUGCAGGACAAAUGA